rnacentral:rRNA from 1 species
AGUGAACGCUGGCGGUAGGCCUAACACAUGCAAGUCGAACGGCAGCACAGUAAGAGCUUGCUCUUGCGGGUGGCGAGUGGCGGACGGGUGAGGAAUACAUCGGAAUCUACUUUUUCGUGGGGGAUAACGUAGGGAAACUUACGCUAAUACCGCAUACGACCUACGGGUGAAAGCAGGGGAUCUUCGGACCUUGCGCGAUUGAAUGAGCCGAUGUCGGAUUAGCUAGUUGGCGGGGUAAAGGCCCACCAAGACGACGAUCCGUAGCUGGUCUGAGAGGAUGAUCAGCCACACUGGAACUGAGACACGGUCCAGACUCCUACGGGAGGCAGCAGUGGGGAAUAUUGGACAAUGGGCGCAAGCCUGAUCCAGCCAUACCGCGUGGGUGAAGAAGGCCUUCGGGUUGUAAAGCCCUUUUGUUGGGAAAGAAAAGCAGCAGGUUAAUACCCCGCUGUUCUGACGGUACCCAAAGAAUAAGCACCGGCUAACUUCGUG